GUGUGUGAGUGCUGGAUGAUGGGUGUGUGAGUGCUGGAUGAUGUGUGUGUGUGCUGGAUGAUGUGUGGUGGAGUGCUGGAUGAUGUGUGUGUGCUGGAUGAUGUGUGUGUGUGCUGGAUGAUGGGUGUUUGUGUGAGUGCUGGAUGAUGGGUGUUUGUGUGAGUGCUGGAUGAUGGGUGUUUGUGUGUGUGCUGGAUGAUGGGUGUGUGUGCUGGAUGAUGUGUGUG